AUAAAAAGUUUAAUCUAUCAAAAAUAAUUAACAUCAUUAUAUAAUAUAUAGUUUUAAAAAAUCUCAAAAAAAAUUUCGUCAUAUUUUGUGAUUCGAAAUUUUAAGAAUGAACAUAUAUUAACCAAUUGGCGAAAAAUGUGUGGGUUCAACGUCCCGCAACGACUAAUAUAUUUUGACAGUGAUUCAUAAACUUAUUAUAAAUUAAAUCAAUAUUAAUAAAAUAAAUAGUUUUUUUUGUGGACGGGUUUGGAAGGACGGGUUUGGCAGGACGUACUUAGUAACAAUAGUAAACUAUAAAAUAAUUUAUAAAUUUUUAUAUAUAUAUUAAUUUUAAAAAAUGAAUUGUCUCCGCGGUGUACCAUGGGUUAAAAUCUAGUUAACUAUUAAAGACGUUCAAAAAGCUAUAUGCAUGUAUAUAU
rnacentral:sRNA from 1 species